AGAAACACGAGGGGAGAGUUUGUCCACCGGCAAAACAAACACACAACACCACGCUGCUGCUUCAGCGUGGUCCAAUCACUGGGAUCGAGGCUCGGAGUCGCCCUAAACCGAGCCAGACGUCAGAACCUGAGUUCUGCCUGAUCCGUUUUCUUCUUACUCUGCAGGCUUCCUGUUCAACCCCAGCCGGGUACGUGAAGGUCUGCAGCAUCGCUUAGUCGCGCAGCAUUCUUCCCUCCCCUGGAACUCGGCUUUUACAACACUUGGCGGUUCUACUUGAAACGCAGGCUUGACCCCGUGUCACCGGCCAGAUGGCCAGUAAAUAGUUCCACCAUGAAGUCAGUCAUUGUGCUGAUACUGUACCACAGAGAGGCGUCUUAUUAUGCAUCACGCUAUAAGGUAUUCUGUGUUCUGAUGCUUAAUGGACAAUGUCAUCUUGUUUUUGUCUAUCAAUAAAUAUUCAGCUGCAAGUAGUAAUCUAAUUAGCCUUUACUAGAAAAAUUAACCUUUUCAGGGUUUGGUGACCCCCAAACCUGGAUCACACCCAAAGACAGUACAACCAGACUUUCACAUAACAAUCUCAAGUUAUGUGAAUCAAACACAAUAUCAAAAUUCAUCAAAAGUUAAAAAAAAAAAAAAAAACUUUCAAUCACAUUCUUGUGAUUAUGUUGCUGU